UUUUUGGAGAGUUUGAUCCUGGCUCAGGACGAACGCUGGCGGCGUGCCUAAUACAUGCAAGUCGAGCGGACCAAUAGAAGCUUGCU
rnacentral:rRNA from 1 species